rnacentral:lncRNA from 1 species
AUUAAUAUGUCCGAACCAGUCCCCACACCUAUCUCUCAUCUCUCCAAACAACUUCAUCUUCUGCGUAGCCCUAGCGCCGCCGCCUCCAUAUCCUCAACUCCUCCGGUGGCGACGCCGGUGUCAAAUCGCCUCUAGACAAACACCCUAACACCACCUUACUUUCUACAUCCUCAAUCCAUAGCCAAAAGAGUUCGAACACACCUGGAACCCUUCGAAUCUUCGUGGGAGUCCAUGAACCCUAGCUGCCGACGUUGAGUUCCAGUGGCGCCGCCGCCUUUUUUCUAACUCAAAUGGACACCAAAUAACAGUCUUACUUCAUUCCUGGUAAAUUCCAUGCCAGAAACUUCAUGAAUCUCAGUACAGCAUUGGGAAUCCUUUGGAUUAAGAGUUCAUUCGGGCCGGUCUUUUGAAAACUUUUCAAGGUCGAGUGCUUCCCAUCGUAAGUGUUCUGUGCUCUACGAUUCUAUUAGUUAAAUUCCUCUUUCGUUUCUUUUUCAAUUAGUGAUUUCUCUUUGCAUUCUGAGUUUUGUUCAGUUCGAUUCAUGUGUAGUUUAAUUAGUAGUCUAAUUUUCAAUAGAGUUGCUUCUUGUUAUUGUUAGCUGAUUCUGAGGCAACGUUUUUUCUUCUUAAUUAGAGGUCAAUUGUUAGUUAACGGUUAAAGUGUUAGCUUAGUUUCGAUUAGUUCGAUUUGAUUAGUUUGGUCGAAUGUACUCCUUGAAUCUGACUUUUGCUUUGAUCUUAUUUCCAGCUCGUUUUAGAAAUGUUUUGAUUCUCGUCUAUUUGAAUUAAUGAUUCUGAUAGUCUAUGUUUAGUGUAAUUGAUUUUUAGUUUUCAUUUUCAAAUUAGGAUUCUUCAGGUUUUUAAUAAUUAAUGUCGCAUAUUAAGUCAGUAAUUUAGUAGUAAUUCAGUAAUUAGCAUUUGUUUUCUGAAUUCAACAUUUGAUCAAGUAGUUAGUAGAUAAUGUUAGCCAAUCUGAUUACAACUGGGUAAAUUAGACCUUCAAUUAGUCAGGGGAGUCUUCAGGGGUACUUUGGGUACUUGAAAUGGUUAGUUUGUUAGGCUAGGUAAUUCAAAAGGAAGCAAAAGGGCAUUUUAGACAUUCAUGAUUUAGGUAUCAAUACUAGAAUUGCUUGGAACCUUCUAGAAAGGGGUGUACUUAGAUUAUGAAGUAAGUCUGAAGUACUUCCUUGGAGAAUAAGUUAGAAAUAAAGGGGGUAAAGCUGAAAAAGGGAGGGACUAAUAUGAAAAGUGCAAAAUUGAGGGUUGACCUCCCUUAGGCCUAUAAAAAGGCAUCAAAAUGCCUUGAAGAGCAAGUUUGGCAGCCUAAACAUUCCCCCAAAAAAUACUUCCCAAGCUUCCAUAUCUGAAAUUAAAAAUUUUAGAUAUGAAAUUCCCUUAGAUCUUAGUCUCUUCAAAUACAAAAUCCAAAAAAAAAACAUCAUAAAAGAGAAAGAAUCAGAAACAACGUUAAUGUUUGAUUGCCUAUUUCAAUUUUAUACUUGGGUAUCCUUGAUUGCUGAUCAAAACUUAUUCUAUCAAAAGCAUCCUGAGGUAUUUUAAUGGUCUGUCCAAUGAAACUGGAUUUGUUCAGUUGGAUUUUAGCUAAACUUAUGUUCCAGUGAGAUUUCAGAAUCGUCUAAGCUCAAUUAUAAGAGUUUUGAGUGCAUUUCGAAGUGUGAUGACUUGAUUCGCUGGAGUCCUCUUGAUUAGUGAAUGUUUAUGGUUUCCAAAAUCCUUUCCUAGACUGCUCUGUGAUAUUAUAUUGCUGAAUCUUAGGGUUGAUGUUGCUGUGCAACAUAGCUAACGUUUCUUCUUCUUCUACUUUAUAUCUCUAGGUACACGCUUGAGACUGGUCCGAUGUAGCUAUUAAGUUGAAAGGCUGAAUUAAACUGUUUUCCCUGGAAUCUAUGUGUUCAAGGUGUUUUAGUGUAAUAAUAGUAGAUGAUUUGCAUUUGUUUAGGUUCAUUUUGAUUUGUAUUUACAUUAUAUAAACUAGACGAACAUUGAACUAUUUGAGAUUCAAAUUGAUGACUACUCUUUAACGUUAACUUUAAUUCAAUUGAUUCUACUUGAAGACUAUUUAGGCAUUAAAUUUGACUUAGAGAUCAUAAUAGGCAAUCUGUAACCAAUGUGAAAUCAGUAGAAGCACAAUUCAUGGGACAUAAAUCAGAGUUCAUUUUGAACAAGUUCAUAUGUUUCAUUAUUGAUCACUGAUUAGUUUAUUUGCAGUUACAAAAGAUUAUUAGUUAUUUUGGCUUUAUGCAGUUUCAAAAUCAGUCCUGUCAUUAGUAUCAUAAUAGUCGGCCAAUGCUAAUUAUAUGGUUAAUUUAGAUUUAAAACAACAUAUGUCAUACCGUUUGAGGUGAUAUAAUUGAACCAAAUAACGUAAUCCUUUUCAUUUGGAAAAAUCAACAGUUCACGAUUCUGAUUUGGCACUUUCAAUUUAAGUUCAUAUCACAUGAAUUGUUGAGGUCUGUGGUUCUUUGUGUGUGUUGGGAUUUAUGCCGAAAGGGACAACCGCAAGCCCAAGUGUUUCCCUCUCUAUGGGCUGGCAUCAAGGCCCGUUCGCCAUGCUUGUUCCUGAACGGAUCCCUUUGGCUCAUCAGUUUGGGUUUGAUUUAAAGGUUUUAAUUCAUAAUUCAACUCUUGGGUUUAGUAUACAAUAAAUUUGGUUUCAGGUUAGGUAGCGGGUUCAAGCUAAAAGGUUCGUCCUUUUGUUUGGACCCGGACUUGAACUUGAAACUCGAGUUCUCAUAAUUAUUAAUUAAAAUUUUUGUUUUCUUUAGAGACAAAAACAAAAAUAGAAAAUGUAGUCGCUUUUACGCCUAUCCUUUAAAAUAAAAUGAGACGAGCCUCGCCAAUAAAAUGCAAAAUUACGGGGCCCACAGUAAAGGUUUAAAAUAUUUUAGAAGUCGGGAAGGGAUGUUUAGCGAAUUUCACGGUCCUCCCAAAAGAUAAUAACGCGCUAGAAUCUUUUAGACGCGGCUUUAUUAAAUUACAUUCCUAAAUAUGGGUGGGCAUUUUUAUGCGGCCCAAAUCAAAAUCCUAAAACUUUGAAUAGAGUGUGCCUAAGACUGUGGGUUCAUUUGAUGCGGUGCAAUCCGAAAACACACUUUAAACGACGUUCACUUUCUCGAAUAUAUAUAUAUAUAGUGCAAAAUUGAGGGNNNNNNNNNNNNNNNNNNNNNNNNNNNNNNNNNNNNNNNNNNNNNNNNNNNNNNNNNNNNNNNNNNNNNNNNNNNNNNNNNNNNNNNNNNNNNNNNNNNNNNNNNNNNNNNNNNNNNNNNNNNNNNNNNNNNNNNNNNNNNNNNNNNNNNNNNNNNNNNNNNNNNNNNNNNNNNNNNNNNNNNNNNNNNNNNNNNNNNNNNNNNNNNNNNNNNNNNNNNNNNNNNNNNNNNNNNNNNNNNNNNNNNNNNNNNNNNNNNNNNNNNNNNNNNNNNNNNNNNNNNNNNNNNNNNNNNNNNNNNNNNNNNNNNNNNNNNNNNNNNNNNNNNNNNNNNNNNNNNNNNNNNNNNNNNNNNNNNNNNNNNNNNNNNNNNNNNNNNNNNNNNNNNNNNNNNNNNNNNNNNNNNNNNNNNNNNNNNNNNNNNUACAAAAAUGUUGGAGGUUGAAAACUUCUUGUAAAAAGUAAAAUUGGCACAUAGGUUCUUCAUGUAAUAAAAUUAGAUAAUAGCUAAAUGCAACAGUUGAGCGACCGUGCUAGAACCAUAGAACCCGAGAAUGCCUAACACUUCUCCUGGAUUAACAUAAUUCCUUAUCCGAAUUUUUGGUUCGCAAACUAUGAACAGUCAUCUUUUUCCUCGGUUCGGGAUUCAACCGGUGACUUGGGACACCAUUUAUCUCCCAAGUGGCGACUCUGAAUCCUAAUAAACGAAUCCCGUUCCGAUUGUCCUUUAAGUGUAAAAACUCCUUUACGCCCCUUUGCGGGGUGUAUAGUGAAAACGCAGGUGUGACAGCUCUAGCGACUCUGAUGGGGAAAAGAACCUAGAACGUUUUGUUCAUGGUUCAGGAUUUAAGCUUAGAAUAAUUGUGGUGUUUGGCUUUAUCUGAUUUUGUUACAUGAUAUAUGCCUAAUGUGCUAAUUGACUGCUUUUGCCGCUUUGAUAUUAUGUGAACUGUAUAUGAACUGUGCUGAAACCCAUCUCCUCUAUGAGUCUUCUGAAUCAUGAAGAAGGGUGUACGUCGUAUGACUUCUUUUCUGUAUAGUGUCAAAUCCCAAUUUAGAGCUAGGUUUGGAUAAGUCGCAAAGCCGUGAAGCUUCUGUAUUCCCAGAUUGCCUCCUCCUCCUCAGCUCGAGCGGUCCGCUUGGGUAAGCCAGGUUUAGAACAAACACCCAGGUUUUGAAGCUAGAAUAACUUAACCUCAUGCCAGUUCCCUAGUAGGAACGCUUAUUUGCAUCAUGUGUAUUUUGACUUACGGGAGUCAAUAUAGGGGUUGGGUCCGUCUAGGGCUAGCAACCUGAAAUGAAAAGACCAUUCUAAUGCAUCCUUCUUGUUUUCUGUGCAUUUAUUUGCUCGGGCUUGCAUGUUGGCUGGCUUUUAGAUCUCAGGAUUGUUAGAAAAUUAAAAAAAAACAAGGAGAAAAGAGAAAAAUAGCAGUUGGAGAGUUAAUUGAUUGUUUUAGAAAAUCCGAUAUCCAAGUACUGUCGGAACUCUGCCGAAAUUUUGAGAAAAUAUAAAAAUGUUUUAUUUAAUAUUUGUUUUUUUCAAAAAGAGUCCGUCAUGUUUUAGUUUGUCUUGUUUGCAAAAUGAAAAAUGAAAAAUAGUUUGUUUUGUCAUGAGAAAAGAAAAAAAAGUCUUGAGUUUUGUUUUUCUUGUUUCAAAAUAGUUAUUUUCCAAUGAAAAAGAAGGUGUUUUAUUGAAAAAGAAAAAAAGAAUCGUAUUUUUAGUUCGAAAAAUAGGUUGUGUUACUAAAAAAUGAAAAAGAAGAAGUCUUUAUUCGGGAAAGAUAGGUUGUUUGUUGAAAAUGAAAAGAAAAAAAAUUAUUAUUUUGUCUUGCUUUUAAAAAUAGAAAAGGAAAUAUAGUUUUUUUGCCAUGAAAAAUGAGAAAGGAAAAAGAGUCUUUUAUUUUAGUCUUGUUUUCAAAAAUGAAAAAGAGAAAAAUAGUUUGUUCUGCCAUAGAUAAUGAAAAAAAAAAGAAAAAAAGUCUUUUAUUUUAGGCUAUUUAUUGUUUGUUGAAAAAGAAAAUGAAAAAAAGUCUUGUUUUUAAAAGUAUUUUUUUAUUUUAUUAUGAAAUGCCAAAAAUAAAAAUGAAAAAGAGUCAUGUUUUAAAAUAGUUCGGUUAAUUUGCCCGAACUACGCAUGGUUUGAUUCUCAAAGGGCGUGAGAUACGUAGGCAACCCUCAUCGGGUCCAACCUCCCCUUUACAAAAAUAACCCAAAAAUUUUAAAAUUUUAAUUUUUGUCAUAAUUAAACCAGGUGAUGGAGGUUUUGUCAAAAAUAGCCAAAUAUUCCCAAACGGGGUGCCGGAAGGCUGGCUUUGCACAAAUUUCCACCUUUGGUCAUAUUUUGAUUUUUGACCUUCACAACCUAAAACUUUUCGCCCCCCGAGGCGCUGGAAGGCCGUGUUUGCAAUACCAGGUCAUUUAUUUUAAUUUGAAAAACAAGAAAAAGAGUCAGUGAUCAAGUGAAUACCGUUCGCAUUUUGAGUUAAAAUUAGCAUAUAGGGAAGGAAUCUAUCAUUUUGUUUUUUGAUUUUGUAUUUCUUUUAAUUAGAGUAUAUGGGUCAUUUGAUUUUUGAGUCUGUAUUUCAUCGUUAAGUCAGUCAGUUUUGUUGUUAUUGUGAAAUUGGAAAAUCUCAAAAAAUAUUUUACUGUCAUUUACCUUUUAUUUGUACGAACUACGUACGAUGUGAUUCAUGCGGGGUCAUGAUACGUAGGCAGUCCACAUAGGAUUCGACCAUAACAAAAAAAAAGGAAAAGAAAAAAGCGAAAAAGCAAGAAAAAGAGAGAAAAGAAAAUAGGGGAAAAACAAGAAAGAAAAUGACAGAAAAGGAUAAGGGAUAAGAGAGGAAAGGAAAAGAAAUAAGGGAAAAAAGAAACCCAAAAAGGGACAAUAGCAAAACAAGACGGAAUAAGAACAAAAGAAGGCAAAGGAAAGAACAAAAAACAAAAAGAGAAGAAAAGAAAAGAAAGAAAUUGUGCAAUCAGAAAUAAGGAAAAAGCCAAGAUGACGCAAGCAGUUGAGCAAAUGCAUAUAGAAUCCGUUAAACUGUUUAGGUGCAUUCAUUCCCCAACGUGAGGUUAUCAAAUCUGCUCAUGCCCUAUCCAUUGACCAAGCUGUUAUUGAUGUUGAGUUCAGGCAGAUGGUUAGUUGUUGGGCAUUCUAGCAACCCAUUCCUACAACACCCAAUCAGAAAACAAGCUGAAAAUGACAGGGCAUGAAUCUGAUACCAGUAUUAUGGACCUGGUAAAAGAGGGAGAGUGAUUGAUGUUAAUGCGAAGAGGGAAGAAAUGCAUAAGUUUAGGAAGAAAAUGGCUUAAAUGCAUCGGGAUUGGUAUAGGGGUCAGUCGCCGCCAGUUUAUCACGCCAAUCUAAACUACGUCCCACCUUUGGCUCAGUUUCAGGAGCCUCAUACUGUGAACUGCUGUUGAUGUUGAGUCGAGACAGGUGGUUAGUUGAUUGGCAACUCUAGAAACUCACCCGUAAACAUCCAGUCGAACGAUAAGAUGACAGGACAAGAAUCUGACUCCAGUAUUGUGGACCCUACAAAAAGGGUCGAGGUGAAUGAUGUGGGUGCCAUGAAUGAAGAGAUGAGGAAGUUGAAAGCACAGAUGGCUGAAAUUUGCCAAGUUUGAUCUUAGGUCACCGGACACCUUUGUAUCCCGCCAACCCGUCCUAUAUCCCACCUCUACUUCAUACUCAGGAGCCUUCUACUCCUACAUCUCCAUCCUUCACAUAUCACACCCAGGGCUAUGCUACCACUUCAUACGUUCCUCCAGCUCCACCACCCAAACAGAACCUUCCACCACCUUUGGCUCCAAUCUUUGUGGCACCUCCUCCAGCCACAUUGCAAAGAUCAUUUAGUGAGCCACUGUUCCAAGCUCACGAUGCUCAAUAUUACCCUUAUGAACCCACUUUUAAAUCUCCUUAGCCGUACACCUAUACCCCUCAUUUUGAGAUCCCGGAAGAAGUUGAGAAACCAGCUAAGAAUGCAGAACAAGAGGAAGUAAUUCGUAAAUUCAAAAGCCUGGAAUUCAGGAACGUGCAUGGUUUAGACAGCCAGGUCAACGUGGCAUACAAAGACCUAUGUCCAUUUCUCGACGUUCAGUUGCUUGUGGGGUUUAAAAUGCCAAAGUUUGACUUGUAUGAGGGGCACGGUGACCCAGUAGCCCAUCUGCGUGGUUUGUUUAGUAAGAUGAGAGGUGCUGGGGGGAAGGAUGAAUUGUUGAUAGCCUAUUUCGGUCAAAGCUUGAGCGGGUCUGCGCUAGAAUGGUACACGAGACAUGGUCCUGGUAGAUGGUAUACAUGGGAUGACUUGGCACAAGCAUUUAUCGACCACUUUCAGCAUAACCGUGAGAUAGUCGCCGACCGUCUGUCAUUGUUGAAACUUGAGAAAAAAGCCAAGGGAGAGUUUUAGAGAGUUGGGUUUCCGCUGGAUGGAGAAGGCAGCGAGAUUUGAUCCUCCGAUGAGGGAAAGUGAAAUGGUAGAUUACUUCUUGCAGACCUUGGAACCAACGUACUUUGGUCACUUGGUAACAUCAGUUAGAAAGUCGUUCAAUGAAGUGGUAAAGAUGGGGGCAAUGAUAGAGGAAGGACUAAAAUCAAACAAGAUCCUGAGCUAUUCUGCACUUAAAGCCACCACCCAGGCCAUCCAAAGCGGCACUGAUGGUGUGCUUGGAAAGAAAAAGAAAGAAGAAAUUGCAACAGUGGAAGCGAGUACUUGGUCCCGGUCCAGAAACCCUCCACCCUACUAUAACAAACCCAGAACCCACCACCCAGAUUACCCAUAUACCUUAUACGGCCAUCCAUAACUCUACUAUCCACCACCAGAGCCACACUUUUUGGUCCACCACGCCUAAUCAUACACCCAGCCUCUAGAUCACCCGCAAUGGCGUGCACCAGUUCCCCCAAAGCGCAUAUCCAGCUCCACAAAACACAUAUCAACACCCAAGGCUACAAACUAGGAUCCGGCUUCCUCCGGAACCAAGCUUUCAGAAAUGAGAGGGUCCAGAACAAAAAAACAUUUACUCCGCUGGGAGAAUCCUGUACCACUCUUUUCACAAACUGAGGCAGUUAGGCUUGCAGCCCCUGGUUGAACUCAAAACGCCAAAUCCUCUUCUUAGAAAUCUGGACCACUCUGUGAGCUGUGAAUACUGUUCCGGAGCCCCCACACAUGAUAUACAAAAAUGUUGGAGGUUGAAAACUUCUGAGCAGGAGCUUAUUGACACAAACAGGAUCGAGGUUCAAGCCCCAGAGGCACCAAACACUGACUAGAAUCCGCUGCCAGCUCACCAUGAGGCUCAUGUGAUCAAAUUGAUGCAUAAAGGAGGAAAAUAUAAGAAACCUUCUGAUGGUAAUCCGUUCUAGCAAAACAAAUUUGAACGAAAAGUCAACCAGUGAGAAAAUUGUGGUCUAGUUGAAAGGGGUGGAUAAUAAGCCGCUGUCGCCAAAGGUUCUUGGGUCAUUGAAUGGUGUGGAUGGAAACGCGGGAAAUGGGUUCAAAAGGUUAUUCAUUGAGGUAAACAUGGUUGAAGCAAAGGAAGGGUAAGCAAGGCAAAUGCGCAGUUCGCCUAACCACGGGCAAAAGUCAAUGAUUGGAAGUUUUGGUAGUAGGUUUUGUUUUUCUUUAAACUGUCUGGACUAUUCCAGGGUUUGUAGUCUAGAUACUAUGUUCCGUCCCCUUUGGAUGAGUUGAAACCCUGUUAUCUUUACCUUCAAUGAAAUGCAAUUGUCUUUCAUUCUUCUUAACUUUUUUUCAGUUUGUUUUUUUUCCUAUCUGUACAAUUCUUUUUAUGCUGAUAUCAAUAACAUUACAUGCUGAGGAAUCUUUGGCCCAGUCGUGAAAAAUGACCUUAUUCGAAUAAUAAUACAAGAAAUCGAGUGUGAUAAGGAGUUGGAACAUGACGACGAUUUCACCCGCCUUGCACUAUUGGGUUUGAUUAAUGAAAAGAGAUUAGUAUCAGUGCGUCAUGGCCAAUUGUACCAACAAAAAUGGCAAAAGCGUACAACAAGAAAAUGCGUACGAGGAAAUUCAAAAUGGGAUAGCUAUUGUUGAGACGUAUCUUGCCUCAUCAGGCUGAAGCAAAAGGAAAAUCUGCCCAAAAAUGGCAGGGGCCAUUUAUGGUAACCAAAGUGUUGUUUAGUGGUAAAUUAUAUCUAACAGUUGUGGAAGGUAAAUGUGUAGAAAUGGCCAUCAAUUCAGAUAUGGUCAAGAGGUACUCUGUAUAAUUUCUUUAUUCUUGAUCGUACUGGUUUUGUAUUUGGCAUAUUUUGAAGAUUAAAAUGAUGAAGACGUUUUGUUCUGCUAUCUAAACACUUUAUCCUUUGUCACCUAUUUUGGGUCGUACUUAUUUUCUUUCGUACCCUUCUUUCGGAAUCAAUGGCACAAUUAAGAAACGCAAGUGCCGAAGAUGAGUACAUAAAAGGAUAGAAGGAAGAAAAGGAAGGAAAAGGAAGAAAAGAGAAAAGUAGGAAAAAUAAAAUAAAAUAGGAAAAGAAACAAAAGAAAAAGAAAAGAAAAGAAAAGAAAAGGAAAAUAAAAGAAAAGGAAAAGAAAAGAAUAGGAAAGAAAAGAAAAGUGAAAGGAAAAGAAAAGAAGAACACAAAAGAAAAGAAAAGAAAAAAAAUUCACAACAAAGUAAAUUCUAUUAAGUGAAAUACUUUUGACUUGAUCCCGAAAGGGUACUAAGAAGCCAUACUCUGAGGUUCAGUCACACAAAAAGAAAAAUUUGAAAGUCCCCAAGCAAGAAACUGGGGCAGAAGUUGUAAUAGUCUUGAGAAAUUGGAUUCCGAAAGUUGUAAGUUUAACCCAUUUUGAAAUCGUUUUGAGCCUUUUAUAUCCUUUCUUUCCUAACCCGUCCAAAAGCCUACAUUACGGUCCAAAGAAAGACCUUCUAAUCAGUUUGUGAGAAAUGCCAAGUUGAGCAGGUUGAAGUAAUUUAUGACAGGGGCAACACUCUGGUUCAAGCAAGAAGAACAAAGUAAAAAAAUGAGAGAGUCUUAUUGUUGAAAACCUUCACAGGCAUCAUAAGGCGACGGGAGCUGAGAGAAAAAUAAAUGAGAGAGUACUAUUGGCGAAAACGCUCAUGGGCACCUUGAGGUGAAAGUGAGUUUGAGAAGUGGUUAAUUGGUAAAAGGUAUGUGGGUGGAAAACUAUUUCAAGGCAUCGCAGGAAUGAACAAAGUCAAGGUUUGGGUAAAGUAAUCAAGUGACAGAAAUUUUUGGGCAACAAAGUACGGCAAUUGAAAGCUGGUUAAUUGGACAGAUUGGGCCGAUUAGUCUGAAAUGUAUGUCAUGACCAUUGGUGCCAGCUGUUCCGGUAAGAUAAGUUCUCUUCAUUUUCCUUCUAACAGUCAUCUGGUUUUGGAUUCCUCUUAUCCUUAACUUAUAAAAUCAUUGCAUUUCACUGUCUUUUGNNNNNNNNNNNNNNNNNNNNNNNNNNNNNNNNNNNNNNNNNNNNNNNNNNNNNNNNNNNNNNNNNNNNNNNNNNNNNNNNNNNNNNNNNNNNNNNNNNNNNNNNNNNNNNNNNNNNNNNNNNNNNNNNNNNNNNNNNNNNNNNNNNNNNNNNNNNNNNNNNNNNNNNNNNNNNNNNNNNNNNNNNNNNNNNNNNNNNNNNNNNNNNNNNNNNNNNNNNNNNNNNNNNNNNNNNNNNNNNNNNNNNNNNNNNNNNNNNNNNNNNNNNNNNNNNNNNNNNNNNNNNNNNNNNNNNNNNNNNNNNNNNNNGGGGGGGGGGGGGUUAUCUAUCUAAGAUGUUCCAAUGUCAGUUUUGUUCAAUGCAAGUAGAAAGAAUUUCAAAGCUCACUACCAACUUCCGAACAUGGUAAAGUAUAAUGUGGUCAGAGCAUGUCAUAAUGUAAAUCGGAGUAUGGGAAGUCACCGGAAGUUUCAUCGGUGGAAUAAUUAGAAAAUAUUGUGGGAAAUGUAAAGGUUCAGACAAAGGGAUCAGAGGUAUGAAACUACAACAGGGGUACAAAACAUCCAGGUUUUCAGAGGUUGGGGAAUUUGAAAGUGGCUCAGAAAGUCGAGCGGUUCAGGGAUAGUUAAGGGAAGCCGGAGGAAACAAAGCAAUGCAGUAGAAGGAUUUUUCACCAAGAAUUCCAUCAACUAACCACCAUUUUAAACUCACAAAAUUUUCUUUGAUUGAAAUAGGGGCAAAAAAAAUUGGUUGUUAUGAAGGAAUUCUCCAUAAAGGGAAAACAAGCAGUAAUCAGGUUUGACCGCAAAAAGUGGUAUGAUUAAAAUACAAGAAUACUUGGGAAUAAUACGGGGAAUGGAAGUUUGCAUGUUUGGGGUAGAAUUAAAGUAGGAGUGGUCAGGACCUUCCUGAAUAAUAGGAUGUAUUUCAAAACCUUGUAAGUAGCAUAACGUAGUGGGAACAAUACCUCUAGAAAACGUAAAUCAGGUUCAUAAUUAGUAGGAAUUGCCAGGGCCUUCCUGGAUAAUAGGAUGUAGUUUAAAGUCCUUGUAGAUAACAUGAUGUAGUGAGGGUAAUACAUUAGAAGAUAUAUCCUAGGUUCGUAAUUUUUAGAAGUUGUCAGGACCCCCUGGAUAAUAGGACAGCUUUCAAAUUCUUUGUAAUAGUUGGUUAUGAUCUAGUAACACUCACCCAUGUGCCCAACUACCAAAUUGGGGCAGGUAAUUUUCCUUGUUUUCGUAUGUUUUUGUGAAGUCAGGAGCCCUCAUGGAUAACGGAGGAAUACAUUUUCAAGCUUUGAAAUAAGUAGCUCGCCUGAAAAAAUAGAGGAGCCCCGCCUGGAGAAUAGGAAAGUUCAGUUCAAAUUCAAAAGUUGGGAGCCCACCGCAUAAAUAGGGAAUACGUUCAAUUUCAAAUUCAUAGGUCGAGUGCACACCCGCAUAACAAAGGAAUACAUUCAAGUUCAAAUUCAGAGGUCGGGAGCCCACCCACAUAACAAGGGAAUACAUUCAAGUUCAAAUUCAGAGGUCGGGAGCCCACCAGCAUAACAAGGGAAUACAUUCAAGUUCAAAUUCAGAAGUCGGGAGCCCACCCGCAUAACAAGGGAAUACAUUCAAGUUCAAAUUCAGAGGUUGGGAUCCCACCCGCAUAAUAAGGGAAUACAUUCAAGUUCAAAUUCAGAAGUCGGGUGCCCACCCCCAUAACAAGGGAAUACAUUCAAGUUCAAAUUCAGAAGUCUGGAGCCCACCCAUAUAACAAGGGAAUACAUUCAAGUUCAAAUUCAGAGGUCGGGACACCACCCGCAUAACAAGGGAAUACAUUCAAGGUCAAAUUCAUAGGUCCUGAGCCCACCCGGAUAACAAGGGAAUACAUUCAAGUUCAAAUUCAGAAAUCGGGAGCCCACCCGCAUAACAAGAAAAUACAAUCAAGUUCAAAUUCAGAGGUCGGGAGCCUACCCUUAUAACAAGGAAAUACACUCAAGUUCAAAUUCAAAGGUCGGGAGCCCACCCGCAUAACAAGGGAAUACAUUCAUGUUCGAAUUCAGAAGUCGGGAGCCCACCCGCAUAACAAGGGAAUACAUUCAAGUCUAAAUUCAGAAGUCGGGAGCCCACCCGAACAACAAGAGAAUACAUUCAAAUCCAAAUUCAAAAGUCGGGAGCCCACCUGGACAACAAGGGAAUAUAUUCAAGUUUAAAUUCUGAAGUCGGGAGCCCACCUGGACAACAAGAGAAUAAAUUCAAGUUCAAAUUCAGAAAUCGGGAGCCCACCGGGACAAUAAGGGAAUACAUUCAAGUCCAAAUUUAGAAGUCGGGAGCCUACCUGCAUAACAAAGGAAUAUAUUUAAGUUUGAAGUCAGGAGCCCGCCUGGAGAAUAGAGGAAUACAUUCAAGUUGCUGAAGUUAGGAGCCCGCCUGGAUGACAGAGGAAUACAUUCCAGUCUUUAAAAUUUUACAAAGCCUGCCUGGAUAACAGAGGAAUACAUUCCAGUUCAGGCUUAUUCAAUUUCAGGAAGGUGGAGAUAAGGAACAACAUCUCAUUUAGCAAGUUGAAGUAACAAUAAUGGAUUUCACCAAGGAAACACAAGAUAGACAACAAGGAAGUAUAAGAUGCAAGUUUGAAAAUUUUAGAUAUGACUUUUGUAAUUCAUAGUUCAUAGCUUAGGCUAGCUUCUUUUAUUGACAUGGUCUAAUAAAGAAGGUCAACAAGCAGUAGCAGCAACAAUCAUAGUGAAAUCAGAGCUCCUGGUAGUCCCAGCUAUCAGACAUUCCCGAACUACACUGACCUGAUUCCUGUUUAGCCCAGGAUAUGUAGGCAACCUCUGAAUCAAGGUGCGGUCGAACUUUUCAAAAAAUGCUUCACCCAGAAUUUUCAAAAGGGCAAACAUUUCUCAUAUUUGCUCACUUAUCUUUGCCCGAAAACUUUUCUUGUUUCCGAGCAAAGAGGGGUAAUCGUGAGCACGUGGUUUUUGCCCUAUAUAUAGAUAAUUCCCAAAAAUUCAAACAAAAAGAUUUUCCUUAUUUUUACAAUUUUGUGAAUUUUGUGUUAAUUGUUUGCAUUUUUAUUGGUGCAUGUUAAUUCAUAUGAAAAUAUAAAAAUAUGCAUUUGCAUGUAGGAUGUAGUUUCAGAUUUUUAGGAUUAACUGGAGAUUCAUUUGUUUUAAAACAAAGCAUGAAAAAUCACAAAAAUAGUUCACAUUAGCAUUUUUAUCGUUUUAAUUGUGAAAUUAUCAUAAAAUAAUCAUUAAAGUAUUUUUAGGCAUUAAUUAAUUUAGUUUAAUUGUUAUUUUAAUUUUUUGGCAGCUUUUAUAGAAUCAGAAAGUGACAAUACAAAAAUAAGGUGGAAGACAAAAGGAAUUAAUGGGGAAAAAUAAAGAAAAGAAGGGAAAAGAGAAAUUGAGGGGAGGGCUGCCCAAUUGGGCCGUCUGAACCGUAAAAUUCCAGCCCAAAUGCAAAGACCCACCACAGCCCAAGGCAACGUCCUUGCCCGGUCCAAUUCGUUGAUUUCAAAACGAUAACAUUUAGGAGAGCUUAAUCUCAGCCCUUCAUCUCUUAAUCCAACAGUUGAUAUUAUCCUAAGAUGUUCCAUAUUAAUAUGUCCGAACCAGUCCCCACCCGUAUCUCUCAUCUCUCCAAACAGCUUCAUCUUCUGCAUAACCCUAGCGACGCCGCCUCCAUAUCCUCAACUCCUCCGGUGGCGGCGCCGAUGUCCAAUCGGCUCUAGACGAUCAGCCUAGCACCACCUUACCUUCUACAUCCUCAAUCCAUAGCCAAAACCGUUCGAACACAUCUGCAACCCUUCGAAUCUUCGUGGAAGUCCAUGAGCCCUAGCUGUCGACGUUGAAUUCCAGUGGCGCCGCCGCCUUUUCAUCUCACUCGAAUGGACUCCAGGUGACAGUAUUACUUCCUUCGUGGUAAAUUCCGUGCCAGAACUUCAUGAAUCUGAGUACAACAUUGGGAAUCCUUUGGAUUAAGAGUUCAUUCGUGCCGGUCGUUUGAAAACUUUUCAAGGUCGAGUGCUUUCCGUAGUAAGUGUUCUGUAGCUACACAAUACUAUUAGUUAAACUCCUCUUUCACUUCUUUUUCAAUAAGUGAGUUCUCUUUGCAUUUUAAGUUUUGUUCAGUUCGAUUCAUGUGUAGUUUAAUUAGUAGUCUAAAUUUCAAUAGAGUUGUUUCUUGUUAUUGUUAGUUGAUUCUGAAGCAAAGUUUUUUCUUCUUAAUUAGAGUUUCAAUUGUUAGUUAAUCGUUAAUGUGUUAGCUUAGUUUUGAUUAGUUCAAUUUGAUUAGUUUGGUCGAAUGUGCUCUUUAAAUCGUACUUUUGCAUUGAUCUUAUUUCAAGCUCAUUUUAGAAAUGGUUUGAUUCUUGUCUAUUUGAAUUAAUGAUUCUGAUAGACUAAGUUUAGUGUAAUUGGUUUUCAGUUUUUAUUUGCAAUUUGAUUAGGAUUCUUCAGGGUUUUAAUAAUUAAUGUCGCAUAUUAAGUCAUUAGUUUAGUAGUAAUUUACUAGUUAGCAUUUGUUUUGUGAAUUCAACAUUUGAUCAAGUAGUUAGUAGGAUUAUGUUAGCCAAUCUGAUUACAACUGGGUAAAUUAGACCUUCAAUUAGUCAGGGGAAUAUUCAAGGGUACUUUGGGCACUUGAAAUGGUUAGUUUGUUAGCUAGGUAAUUCAAAAGGAAUCAAAAGGGCAUUUUAGGCAUUCAUGAAUUAGGUAUCAAUACUAGAAUUGAUUGGAACCUUCUAGAGAGGGGUGUACUUAGAAUAUGAAGUAAGUUUGAAGUACUUUAUUGGAGAACAAGUUAGAAAUAUAGGGGGUAAAGCUGAAAAAGGGAGGGAAUAAUAUGAAAAGUGCAAAAUUGAGGGCUGCCCUCCCUUAGGCCUAAAAAAAUGCAUCAAAAUGCCUUGAAGAGCAAAUUUUGCAGCCUAAAAAUUCCCCCAAAAAAUACUUCCCAAGCUUCCAGAUCUGAAAUUAAAUAUUUUAGAUCUGAAAUUCCGUUAGAUCUUAGUCUCUUCAAAUACAAAUUCCAAAAAAAACAUCAGAAAAGAGCUCAAGAACAACAUUACUGUUUGAUUUACUAUUUCAAUUUUCUACUUGGGUAUCCUUGAUUUCUGAUCAAAACUUAUGCUCUAAUAAGUAUCCUGAGGUGUUUUAAUGUUCUGUCCAAUGAAACUGGGUUUGUUCAGUUGGAUUUUAGCUAAACUUAUGUUCCACUGAGAUUUCAGAAUCGUCUAAGCUCAAUUUCAAGAGUUUUGAGUGCAUUUCGAAGUGUGCUGACUUGAUUCAGUGGAGUCUGCUUGAUUAGUGAAUGUUUAUGGUUUUCAAAAUCCUCUCCUAGACCGCUCUGUGAUAUUAUAUUGCUGAAUCUUGGGGUUGCUGUUGAUGUGCGAAAUAGCUGACCGUUCUUCUUCUACUACUUCACAUCUCCAGGUACACGCUUGAGAUUGGUCCGAUGUAGUUGUUAAAUUGAAAGGCUGAAUUGAACUGUUUCCCCUGGAAUAUAUGUGUUCAAGCUAUUUUAGUGGAAUAAUAGUAGAUGAUUUGCAUUUGUUUAGGUUCAUUUUGAUUUGUAUUUACAUUAUAUAAAA